GAUGCCAGAGCUAACUGAUGGGUGCACAUGGUUCCUUCGUAUGUUCUUUCUUUGAAAAAAUAAACGUGUUUCGAUGCCAGAGCUAACUGAUGGGUGCACAUGGUUCCUUCGUAUGUUCUUUCUUUGAAAAAAUAAACGUGUUUCGAUGGCAGAGCUAACUGAUGGGUGCACAUGGUUCCCUCGUAUGUUUUUCCUUUGAAGAAAUAAACGUGUUUCGAUGCCAGAGCUAACUGAUGGGUGCACAUGGUUCCUUCCUAUGUUCUUCCUUUGAAGAAAUAAACG